GGCUGGCGCAGCUACACAUGCAGUCGAGCGGAACGAGUUAUCUGAACCUUCGGGGAACGAUAACGGCGUCGAGCGGCGGACGGGUGAGUAAUGCCUAGGAAAUUGCCCUGAUGUGGGGGAUAACCAUUGGAAACGAUGGCUAAUACCGCAUGAUGCCUACGGGCCAAAGAGGGGGACCUUCGGGCCUCUCGCGUCAGGAUAUGCCUAGGUGGGAUUAGCUAGUUGGUGAGGUAAGGGCUCACCAAGGCGACGAUCCCUAGCUGGUCUGAGAGGAUGAUCAGCCACACUGGAACUGAGACACGGUCCAGACUCCUACGGGAGGCAGCAGUGGGGAAUAUUGCACAAUGGGCGCAAGCCUGAUGCAGCCAUGCCGCGUGUGUGAAGAAGGCCUUCGGGUUGUAAAGCACUUUCAGUCGUGAGGAAGGUAGUGUAGUUAAUAGCUGCAUUAUUUGACGUUAGCGACAGAAGAAGCACCGGCUAACUCCGUGCCAGCAGCCGCGGUAAUACGGAGGGUGCGAGCGUUAAUCGGAAUUACUGGGCGUAAAGCGCAUGCAGGUGGUUUGUUAAGUCAGAUGUGAAAGCCCGGGGCUCAACCUCGGAAUAGCAUUUGAAACUGGCAGACUAGAGUACUGUAGAGGGGGGGUAGAAUUUCAGUGUAGCGGUGAAAUGCGUAGAGAUCUGAAAGGAAGUACCGGUGGCGAAAGCGGCCCCCUGGACAGAUACUGACACUCAGAUGCGAAAGCGUGGGGGAGCAAACAGGAUUAGAUACCCUGGUAGUCCACGCCGUAACGAUGUCUACUUGGAGGUUGUGGCCUUGAGCCGUGGCUGUCGAGCUAACGCGUUAAGUAACCGCCUGGGGGAGUACGGUCGCAGAUUAAACUCAAUGAAUGGACCGGGGCCGGCACAGCGUGAGCAUGUGUUGAUCAUGCAACGCGAGACUACUACUCUGACUUCAGAGACUUUCCAAGAUGAUGUUGCUUCGGAACUCUGAACGUCAUGCAUGCUGCGUCGCUCGUCGAUGUGAUAGUCGCACACCAACUAGCCUGUGCAUCAGUAGUCGGAUUCAGACUCGUUAACCGGUAUGAAGCUCAGUAUGCUUACAUCAGGUUCAC
rnacentral:rRNA from 1 species